rnacentral:rRNA from 1 species
GACGAACGCUGGCGGCGUGCUUAACACAUGCAAGUCGAGCGGUAUGGCCCUUUCGGGGGUACACGAGCGGCGAACGGGUGAGUAACACGUGGGUGACCUGCCUUUAGCUCUGGGAUAAGCCUGGGAAACUGGGUCUAAUACCGGAUACGACUCCGCGGUGCAUGCUGUGGGGUGGAAAGCCUUGUGCGGCUGGAGAUGGGCCCGCGGCCUAUCAGCUUGUUGGUGGGGUGAUGGCCUACCAAGGCGACGACGGGUAGCCGGCCUGAGGGGGCGACCGGCCACACUGGGGACUGAGACACGGCCCAGACUCCUACGGGAGGCAGCAGUGGGGAAUCUUGCGCAAUGGGCGGAAGCCUGACGCAGCGACGCCGCGUGGGGAUGAC